CCUACGGGGGGCUGCAGUGGGGAAUAUUGGACAAUGGGCGAAAGCCUGAUCCAGCCAUGCCGCGUGAGUGAUGAAGGUCUUCGGAUCGUAAAGCUCUGUGGGAAGGGACGAAAAAGCCAAUCCUAAUACGCUUGGCCUUGACGGUACCUUCUUAGCAAGCACCGGCUAACUCCGUGCCAGCAGCCGCGGUAAUACGGAGGGUGCAAACGUUGCUCGGAAUCAUUGGGCGUAAAGCGCACGUAGGCGGUUCGGUAAGUCGGAUGUGAAAGCCCUCG
rnacentral:rRNA from 1 species